GUCAUCUACUGCUUCCUGGCCAGUGUUUUAUCAACUUUGUCUCGGGUUGUUUUUCCCAUUUUAUCAUGGAUUUGGAGUUUCUGAACAACCUGAUGCUUUCCGACAGCUCACA